UACGGAGGGGGCGAGCGUUAUUCGGAAUUAUUGGGCGUAAAGGGCGCGUAGGCGGCUGUACAAGUCAAAGGUGAAAUCCCUCGGCUCAACUGAGGAACUGCCUUUGAAACUGUACUGCUUGAGGCCGGGAGGGGGUAGCGGAAUUCCCAGUGUAGCGGUGAAAUGCGUAGAUAUCGGGAGGAACACCAGUGGCGAAGGCGACUUCUUGGCCUGUUCUUGACGCUGAGGCGCGAAAGCUGGGGGAGCAAACGGG
rnacentral:rRNA from 1 species